AGUGGGAGGGAGGGGAGAAGGGGACUCCAAGCAAUGAAUAAAUCUUAAGAAGUUACACUGGGGUGUGAAUUCUCCUGGAAAGAAGUGCCCUCCUGACAAGAACCGCAAGGUUCACCAAACCAGAAGCUCAGGGGGGUAGAGAUACAGUCAGAAUUAAAGAACAGGAUGCGCAGCCCAGGAAUUUGUGCAUUCAUUGUCUGAUGUUGAAACAGUUGGAGUCUCCCUGCGUUGUGAAGAGGAGAGUGCAGAAAGAAAGAAGCAUUCUUGAUAAACUAAUAAUGCAGAGAGCACAAACCCACCACUCUCUCGCCAUCCUGCUUAGGGCAUCACUGUAACUUCAUGCCUGAUCUGUGGCAAGGGCUCAAGGCAGACCGCAGUAUUGGACACCAGAAGAAGAAAUGUCCUGUAUUCAGGGUGUGAGAAACCCCUGCAUUUCUCUCUAAACCAAACAGUGCCAUCUGGAGUGUCUGAGUCUUUGAGUCCCUGUGGAGAACUCCUGAACAGACAGAUAUCCUGUUGCUGUAGUAGUUGUUUAAAAAAUCUCCAAUCCACUUUUCCAAUUUAAUCCUGUUUUUUACAAUAUCCCAACUAGUUUGCACUGGCUGAUUCUUUUGUAUUGGAAAUUCAGGACCAUUAAGAAGAUGGAACCAGCCUCUAAGUAAAUUUCUGAUUGAUUAGAAUGCAGAGAUGGGACUUUUUUCCAUCAUUGAGUUACACUACACUCUAAGCCUAGCUUCUACAGGCCUCAAAUUCUCAUUAAUAUGUGAGGAAUCCUUUUAGUGGCCUUAGCUUCUUGGAACCAUCUAUAUUGGGUGCUCAGAGUUGCUCUUUUAGGACUUGCACACCUUCUCUGGACCUCUUUUCUGCAAGGGACUCUGUGCAUGCUCUGUAACCCAAGUCUCCACUGAAGUGGUAACAUGUAACCGCAAUGUUAGAUUAAUCUUUUGAUUUUUAAUUUGAAACUUGGUGUGCAUGAUUUGUGGCCUUCCAUUCAUCUUCCUCCCUU